UGAAAUCUGGCCCUCGGGUCCGAGUUGUAAUUUGUAGAGGAUGCUUUUGGUGCGGUGCCUUCCGAGUUCCCUGGAACGGGACGCCAUAGAGGGUGAGAGCCCCGUCUGGUUGGAUACCAAUCCUCUGUAAAGCUCCUUCGACGAGUCGAGUAGUUUGGGAAUGCUGCUCUAAAUGGGAGGUAUAUGUCUUCUAAAGCUAAAUACCGGCCAGAGACCGAUAGCGCACAAGUAGAGUGAUCGAAAGAUGAAAAGCACUUUGAAAAGAGGGUUAAACAGUACGUGAAAUUGUUGAAAGGGAAGCGCUUGUGACCAGACUUGGGCCCGGUUAAUCAUCCAGUGUUCUUCACUGGUGCACUUGGCCGGCCCAGGCCAGCAUCAGUUCGGCGCGGGGGAUAAAGGCUUCGGGAAUGUGGCUCCUCCGGGAGUGUUAUAGCCCGUUGUGUAAUACCCUGCGCUGGACUGAGGUUCGCGCAUCUGCAAGGAU
rnacentral:rRNA from 1 species